rnacentral:ribozyme from 12 species
UACGCAACCAAGCAGAAAGCAACGAAAGCAAAAAACAAACGACCUAGGAACAAGACGAAAAAAAUAUAUUGUUUACAUGUAUCGAUUGCGUUGCAUAUUUUUCACUUUUUGUUUUUGAUUU